AUUGAACGCUGGCGGCAUGCCUUACACAUGCAAGUCGAACGGCAGCACGGGGGCAACCCUGGUGGCGAGUGGCGAACGGGUGAGUAAUGCAUCGGAACGUGUCCUUUUGUGGGGGAUAACCAGUCGAAAGAUUGGCUAAUACCGCAUGAGAUCGAAAGAUGAAAGCGGGGGACCGUAAGGCCUCGCGCGAGAGGAGCGGCCGAUGCCCGAUUAGCUAGUUGGUGGGGUAAAAGCCCACCAAGGCGACGAUCGGUAGCUGGUCUGAGAGGACGACCAGCCACCCUGGGACUGGGACACGGCCCAGACUCCUACGGGAGGCAGCAGUGGGGAAUUUUGGACAUUGGGGGAAACCCUGAUCCAGCCAUGCCGCGUGUGUGAAGAAGGCCUUCGGGUUGUAAAGCACUUUCGGACGGAACGAAAUUGCGCGGGCGAAUAUCCCGCGUAGAUGACGGUACCGUAAGAAGAAGCACCGGCUAACUACGUGCCAGCCGCCGCAGUAACAC
rnacentral:rRNA from 1 species